rnacentral:rRNA from 1 species
AUUGAACGCUGGCGGCAGGCCUAACACAUGCAAGUCGAACGAGUGGCGGACGGGUGAGUAAUGUAUGGGAAAGUGCCUGAUGGAGGGGGAUAACUACUGGAAACGGUAGCUAAUACCGCAUACCAUCAGCUUUGCCCAGAUGGGAUUAGCUAGUUGGUGGGGUAACGGCUCACCAAGGUCACGAUCCCUAGCUGGUCUGAGAGGAUGACCAGCCACACUGGAACUGAGACACGGUCCAGACUCCUACGGGAGGCAGCAGUGGGGAAUAUUGCACAAUGGGCGAAAGCCUGAUGCAGCCAUGCCGCGGUUAUGAAGAAGGUCUUCGGGUUGUAAAGUACUUUCAGCUGGGAGGCGUUACCCGCAGAAGAAGCACCGGCUAACUCCGUGCCAGCAGCCGCGGUAAUAC